UCAUUAUUAUAGUGAGUGGAGAUGAUGGAUCUGAUUCAUGGUCUCUGGGAAGUUCUGCUUAUGGUUCAUUCAGAUCACGAUCAGGAGCAGACACAGUUUUUGGAUCAUCACGUUCCAGAGAUUCAUCUCACACAAGUUACGAGUCAGGGGCCAUAAAACGAUAUAACAGCAUUGAACUUCCACCACCCAACAUGAGUGUUAGAGGGAAAACAGUAACUGAAAAAUGUUACAGACGCCACACAACUCAGUUCACAGCAAGACACAGCAGGAAAGUUGGACUAUCCAUUAAGAGGUCUCGGGUAAACUCUGCCCAACUAGAAGCAGACAGCAGGUUUGGGUCAUCAUGCUCCAUAGUCUCCACUGGCAGCUCAGGAUAUGGAUCUUCAUGCUCCCUUCCUCAAUCUGUGGAACAGUCAGAACACAAAUGGACAAAUAGUGCGUUUAAGAUUUCAGAACUUUCAGACAAACAAGAUGAGUGUGAAGAUAUGAACUUAUAAGAAUUAAUGUAUGCAAAUGACUGUUUAUAUAGCCAUCCAUUCUCCAAGCUGCAUGUUCUAUGUAGCGAUUCAGGAGCCUGUCCCAGCAUCUCAGGCCUGUCGUAGACAGGGAAACACUCUGGAUGGAUGGCCAGUUGUUUAAAUAUCUUAAUCUAUAAAAUAUUAAUAUUGUACACUGU
rnacentral:lncRNA from 1 species